rnacentral:lncRNA from 1 species
GUUAAGGUAUGUGCCAACAUCAUAUAGUCAGUGGAUACUGACAUCUAGCUCUGUAACUAGCUUUCUUUUCUCAUUUCUCAGACUCUUCCUCCAGGCUUCACUAUCCCCUGGUGGCACUGCCUGCAAGUGUCGCUGCUAUCAGUGGUGUUGGUGUGCUUUUAUGCUUAAUUUUCACGUGCAGAGCUUUCUGCUUACGUAAAUUGGCACGUGAGCCACCAGUACUGGUUGCAACUGAGAACUUCAGGUCCACACCAUCACAUAAAAACACACCUGAAGUCAACCCUCAUGUCUUAGA